AAUAUACAAUAAUCAAACCCUUUCUUUUUCAGAGUUAUUUGAAUUAUUUAUAUUUCCCAUAGAAAUGUGAUUGUGUGAUGCCUUAAAAACGUGUAAAAGUAGGAAGAUUUCCUCUCUGAACAAGAGGUUUUCUGGGCACCGCUGAAAGCAGGUCUUUGGAGCCUAUUACCUAUCCCAGAUAUACUGGAAAGUAAUAUAACUAUACGCAAAUCCAAGCCCCACUCUUUGCCUGGAAAGAAAUGGUGA
rnacentral:lncRNA from 1 species